rnacentral:ncRNA from 2 species
CACACACGCUAGGGGUGUUGAGGGCCGACAGGCGCUCGACUGAGAAAGUCCCUUUGAACCUGAUUGAGGUAAUCCUCGCGCAGGGAAGCAAGUUCAGCACGCC